rnacentral:rRNA from 1 species
UACGGAGGAUGCAAGCGUUAUCCGGAAUCAUUGGGCGUAAAGCGUCCGCAGGUGGCAGUUCAAGUCUGCUGUCAAAGACUGGGGCUUAACCCUAGAAAGGCAGUGGAAACUGAACAGCUAGAGUGCGGUAGGGGUAGAGGGAAUUCCCGGUGUAGCGGUGAAAUGCGUAGAGAUCCGGAAGAACACCAGUGGCGAAGGCGGCCCGCUGGGCAGUGGCUGACGCUGAAGCGCGACAGCGUGGGGAGCAAACAGG